CUGACCUGGUGACCCUCCCAUCUUGCUCUGACCCACCAUGGGCUUCAAGAUCCUUUGCUGGGCAGCCCUCUGUCUCCUGGGGACAGAUCACACAGGUGCUGGAGUCUCCCAGUCCCCCAGAUACAAGGUCCCAGAGAGAGGACAGAAUGCCACUCUCAGAUGUGAUCCAAUUUCUGGUCAUACUGCCUUUUAUUGGUACCAACAGACUCUAGAGCAGGGCCUGCAGUUUCUGAUUUGCUUCCAAGGCAAAAAUGUAGCAGAUAAAUCAAAGCUGACUGGUGAUUGGACCUCUGUAGAGAGGCCUGAGGGAUCGUUCUCCACUAUGAAGAUCCAGCCCACGGAGCAGAGGGACUCGGCCGUGUAUCUCUGUGCCAGCAGCUCAGCCACAGUGUGGCACAGUCACCUCCUUCCUGCUCUCAAACUUCCUCCUUCUUGCUCCUUGCAGCUCCCAGAGACC